AUGCAUGUGUGUAUUUACGCCUGUCYGUCUUGCUGCAGGGACCACCACUGUUGCUGCUAUUCCUGUUGUUCCCCUGCUCUGCGGAACUGGCGCUGCAGGAGACAAGGAUGCUCCAAGGGAGCCAGCUACAGCCAGCGAAGGCUCAACUGCCGUUCGGAGGACAGGCUACUGCUAGGAGACGAAGACAGAGAACGCAGUAUGUUGGAGUCGGUUCUAAACCCAGCCGUCACUGCUAAACAACCAUAUCUGACUCUUCAGAGCGUCUGA
rnacentral:lncRNA from 1 species